CCUACGGGUGGCAGCAGUGAGGAAUAUUGGUCAAUGGGCUUACGCCUGAACCAGCCAAGUCGCGUGAGGGAAGACUGCCCUAUGGGUUGUAAACCUCUUUUGUCAGGGAGCAACGCCGGCUACGUGUAGCCGGACUGAGAGUACCUGAAGAAAAAGCAUCGGCUAACUCCGUGCCAGCAGCCGCGGUAAUACGGAGGAUGCGAGCGUUUUCCGGUGUUAUUGGGUUUAAGGGGUGCGUAGGCGGAAUGCCAAGUCAGCGGUAAAAUCGCGGGGCUCAACCCCGCUCCGCCGUUGAAACUGGCGUUCUUGAGUGGGCGAGAAGUAUGCGGAAUGCGUGGUGUAGCGGUGAAAUGCAUAGAUAUCACGCAGAACUCCGAUUGCGAAGGCAGCAGACCGGCGCCCAACUGACGCUGAAGCACGAAAGCGUGGGGAGCGAACAGGAUUAGAUACCCUUGUAGUC
rnacentral:rRNA from 1 species